UUCAAAGCUAUUUUAUUUUGAUAAUAUUCUUUAAAGGAAGUUCAAAGAGAUUAUUUUAGAUUUUCUCAAAACAAAUCAACAUGCUGUUUUUAAAUGAAAGAGAUAACAAUUUUUAAAUAAAAUAAUUAAAUGUUUUUCGUGCCAUCAUCAUGAUUAAUAUAAUUGUUUAUAAUGUCUAAAUUAGAUUUAAAAAGUUACAGGUCUGUCACUAGAGGAUUUGUUUGUUUCUUUUUGACUUCAAUGACGACGAACCGAAAGGAGAGGACUGAGAUUAAUCGUCAAAUACAACUUCCGUUGGAGUGGGAAGGUCGAAAGCUCGAUUCAUUGGCUGAUGAGAGGCGGGGAUGGAAGAACUUGCAAGCCCGUUUCGACUUUCUGCAAAUUGGGGGUUUUCUGUUAUGUUUCUUCAAUAAAAGGUCCUUUUAAGGCACUGACCCCUAUAUCCAAUCAGAUCGCGGUUAGGUGGGAUGUAACGACCAUCUUUUUAUUAAUACCAUCAGUAGAAUUUAUUUAAAA